AUGGGUCCAAUUCGAAAAUUGAUCCAAAAGCAACAACCUCGUAACAACCAGCGAAAUGUACGACCACGUGUUAGAGGUUAUGACAACGAAGAGGAGGAAGGGGGAAGUGACCAUAGCACGUUGAGGCGGGAGUUGCGACCUCGUCACCGUCGUCAUGGGGGCGAAAUCGAUCCCAAAUUCUUCGAAAGUAGAAGUAUGGAUAAGGCGUCGAACUCAUACCAGUGGUGGGAAGAACAAGCACCAUUGAGAAUAUAG